GCUGCAGUCGUGCAAUGGUUAACACAUCUGCCUCGUAAGCAGAAGACCUGGGUUCAAGUCCCAGCAGUGGCA